rnacentral:rRNA from 1 species
UCUAUCGGGUUUUACCUGAUCGAGUUGUAAUUUGAAGAUGGCGUUUUCUGUGUUUCUGAUCAGUCCAAGUCCUUUGGGAUAAGGCAUCAUGGAGGGUGAGAAUCCCGUUCGGUUGAUCAGAUUCGCUUUACGAUACGUUAUCAAAGAGUCAAGUUGUUUGGGAUUGCAGCUUAAAAUGGGAGGUAAAUUUCUCCUAAGGCUAAAUAACGGCGAGAGACCGAUAGCGAACAAGUACCGUGAGGGAAAGAUGAAAAGAACUUUGAAAAGAGAGUUAAACAGUACGUGAAAUUGUUGAAAGGGAAACGAUUGAAGCCAGUCGUACCUUCGGGUAAUCAGCCUUUUGGGUGUGAUUUUGUGGAGCGUGAAGAGUUAAACGCCUUCAUGCUUGCAUAUUCGUGCACUUUGGGUGUACUUGCCCGUAUGGUUGGUUAACAUCAAUUUUGGUGGUCAUAAAAUGACUGGAGGAAUGUAGCUUCGAUCUCGUAUUGAAGUAUUAUAGCCUUCGGUAGAUGUGAUGAUCGAGAUUGAGGAUUGCAACGGAUACCCUUUGGGGCUACCUGUCUGAUCUCUGAUCGUUGCUUUGGUGCCGAAAGCUUGCUUACGGUUAUCAAAGUCGAUGGUCAAUAGGUUAGAACGGGUUAAAUUCGUUAAGGAUGUUGACGUAAUGGCUUUAAACGAC